rnacentral:tRNA from 1 species
GCCGGCUUAGCUCAAAGGUUAGAGCAUCGCAUUGGA